AUUGAACGCUGGCGGAAUGCUUUACACAUGCAAGUCGAGCGGCAGCACGGGGGCAACCCUGGUGGCGAGCGGCGAACGGGUGAGUAACACAUCGGAACGUACCCUGUCGUGGGGGGAUAACGAGUCGAAAGAUUCGCUAAUACCGCAUACGACCCGGGGGUGAAAGCGGGGGAUCGCAAGACCUCGCGCGACUGGAGCGGCCGAUGGCGGAUUAGCUAGUUGGUGGGGUAAAGGCCCACCAAGGCGACGAUCCGUAGCGGGUCUGAGAGGACGGCCCGCCACACUGGGACUGAGACACGGCCCAGACUCCUACGGGAGGCAGCAGUGGGGAAUUUUGGACAAUGGGGGCAACCCUAGAUCCAGCCAUUCCGCGUGAGUGAAGAA
rnacentral:rRNA from 1 species